rnacentral:rRNA from 1 species
UACGUAGGGGGCGAGCGUUGUCCGGAAUUACUGGGCGUAAAGGGCGCGCAGGCGGCCGAGUAAGUCCGCUGUGAAAGACCGGGGCUCAACCCCGGGGUGUCAGCGGGGACUGCUUGGCUGGAGUCUCGGAGAGGGAUGCGGAAUACCUGGUGUAGCGGUGGAAUGCGUAGAGAUCAGGUGGAACACCGAUGGCGAAGGCAGCAUCCUGGACGAGUACUGACGCUGAGGCGCGAAAGCGUGGGGAGCGAACAGG